AGAGUUUGAUCCUGGCUCAGAACGUACGCUGGCGGCACGCCUAACACAUGCAAGUCGAGCGGGGUAGCAAUACCUAGCGGCAGACGGGUGCGUAACAUGUGGGAAUCUGCCUUUUGGUUCGGAACAACAUGGGGAAACCUGUGCUAAUACCGGAUAAGUCCUAACGGAGAAAGUUUUAAUGCCAAAAGAUGAGCCCGCAUUUGAUUAGCUUGUUGGUGAGGUAAAAGCUCACCAAGGCUAUAAUCAAUAGCUGAUUUGAGAGGAUGAUCAGCCACACUGGGACUGAGAUACGGCCCAGACUCCUACGGGAGGCAGCAGUGGGGAAUCUUGCACAAUGGGCGAAAGCCUGAUGCAGCGAUGCCGCGUGAGUGAAGAAGGCCUUUGGGUUGUAAAGCUCUUUUGUCGGGAAAGAUAAUGACUGUACCCGAAGAAUAAGGUCCGGCUAACUUCGUGCCAGCAGCCGCGGUAAUACGAAGGGACCUAGCGUAGUUCGGAAUUACUGGGCGUAAAGAGUAUGUAGGCGGCUAGAUAAGUUAAUUGUGAAAGCCCAAAGCUUAACUUUGGAACUGCAAUUAAAACUAUUUAGCUGGAGUAUGAUAGAGGAAAGCGGAAUACAUAGUGUAGAGGUGAAAUUCGUAGAUAUUAUGUAGAACACCAGUUGCGAAGGCGGCUUUCUGGAUCAUUACUGACGCUGAGAUACGAAAGUAUGGGUAGCGAAGAGGAUUAGAUACCCUCGUAGUCCAUACCAUAAACGAUGAUUAUUAAAUGUGGGGAAUUA
rnacentral:rRNA from 1 species